rnacentral:rRNA from 1 species
CGGGAACGGAGCUAAUACCGGAUAAUAUUUCGAACCGCAUGGUUCGAUAGUGAAAGGUGGUUUUGCUAUCACUUAUAGAUGGACCCGCGCCGUAUUAGCUAGUUGGUAAGGUAACGGCUUACCAAGGCGACGAUACGUAGCCGACCUGAGAGGGUGAUCGGCCACACUGGAACUGAGACACGGUCCAGACUCCUACGGGAGGCAGCAGCC